CCUACGGGUGGCAGCAGUGAGGAAUAUUGGUCAAUGGACGAGAGUCUGAACCAGCCAAGUAGCGUGAAGGAUGACUGCCCUAUGGGUUGUAAACUUCUUUUAUAUUGGAAUAAAAUGUUCCACGUGUGGGCUUUUGUAUGUACCAUAUGAAUAAGGAUCGGCUAACUCCGUGCCAGCAGCCGCGGUAAUACGGAGGAUCCGAGCGUUAUCCGGAUUUAUUGGGUUUAAAGGGAGCGUAGGUGGAUUGUUAAGUCAGUUGUGAAAGUUUGCGGCUCAACCGUAAAAUUGCAGUUGAAACUGGCAGUCUUGAGUACAGUAGAGGUGGGCGGAAUUCGUGGUGUAGCGGUGAAAUGCUUAGAUAUCACGAAGAACUCCGAUUGCGAAGGCAGCUCACUGGACUGCAACUGACACUGAGGCUCGAAAGUGUGGGUAUCAAACAGGAUUAGAUACCCUAGUAGUC
rnacentral:rRNA from 1 species